rnacentral:rRNA from 1 species
CCUACGGGCGGCAGCAGUAGGGAAUAUUGCUCAAUGAGGGAAACCCUGAAGCAGCAACGCCGCGUGGAGGAUGAAGGUUUUCGGAUUGUAAACUCCUUUUGUUAGAGAAGAUAAUGACGGUAUCUAACGAAUAAGCACCGGCUAACUCCGUGCCAGCGGCCGCGGUAAUACGGAGGGUGCACGCGUUACUCGGAAUCACUGGGCGUAAAGAGCGCGUAGGCGGGAUAGCAAGUCAGAUGUGAAAUCCUAUGGCUUAACCAUAGAACUGCAUUUGAAACUGUUAUUCUAGAGUGUGGGAGAGGUAGGUGGAAUUCUUGGUGUAGGGGUAAAAUCCAUAGAGAUCAAGAGGAAUACUCAUUGCGAAGGCGACCUGCUAGAACAUAACUGACGCUGAUGCGCGAAAGCGUGGGGAGCAAACAGGAUUAGAUACCCGAGUAGUC